ACCAGUCCAGGCCCAGGAGGCCUCAGACUUUCCCCUUGCUUGCAGGUCGGCGGUUCCGCUGCGGCGCCAGGAAGAGGAAGAGGCAAGGGGAGGACGAGGAGCUGUAGCGGCAGAGUGCCCUGCCUGCCUGCAAAGGGGCUUCAGCCUGGUGCUCUGAGAGGGGGGAGCGCCCUCCAGGAGCCAAGCGCCUGGCACUGCAGACGUCAGCCUGCUGAGCCCACGCUCUGAGCGGUCCCUGUGCACGUCCACUCCUGCUGUGCCCCAAUAAAGCCCCCGCUGAGAGGGGUUAACGCUCCC